UUUAAAAUUAAUGCGUUCCCCAACAGAUUGAUGCACAUACCCCACUACUAUAAUCCUACACCCCUGGUGAUGUGACGGGUGUAGGGUGGUGCUGCAAGCUGAACCGGCGGCAGCGUGACCGGUACUACGGCAGCGAGGUCGGUGCAGCGAUGGCCAGCCAGCAUCUGCUGCAGCUAGUGGAGUGAUGCCAUGCUGCGAGGUGCCUCAUCCUCCUUAUCGCCAUCAACUUAAUGGCUACCUCACCGCACCUCCACCCUCCUGUCGUGGCUUUGGUGUUAGAGAUGUGGAUUGCUCGGAAGGGUCAAUGUUGCAACCCAACACCCGUGGUUCUGUGAAUAGAGACAAGUAGAAAUGCGAGCUGACCAGUGACGGGGAACACGUGUGCCCGACAAUGUUUUGAGCGACAUGAGAUCUGUUGCGAGCGAUGAUCAUGGUGCAACAUGCGUCGGGGUCUCAGCUCAGGGAGCCGUAUUGGGACCAGCGGUGCUACGGGGCAUCAGUGAGUCGUGCAGGAUCAGGGUCAAUAGGUGCUAUGGGCGUCCGCAAGUCAUGCUGCGACCAACGCCGAUCGGUUUUACAACACGUCGACAUGAAUGUCAAGCAGUGCUACCAGCGUUGAGCCGUGCUACAACCGGUGUCAAGUGGCUCUACCAACCAUGGAUCGUGGUGCUACAACAUGUGACGAGUGGCGCUACCAGCCAUGUGGUGUGAUGUUAUGGGAUACUAGAUAGAAUCGGGUGGGUAAGAUCCGCUGUAGUAUUUCCUCAUCUGGGCCCAAAAUUGUGUGAUACCCGCUUUUGGUGGAAGACUACAUGCGUGAUUGAUAAAUAGUGAACUAUCCAAGAUGCUCCUGAGAACUCAAUAUACUGAAAGACUAGUGUAGUAUUGCCUCGUCUAGCCACUUCUCCCACAAAACUGAACGGCCCAAGUUAACAUGACGUAUACUCAUCUUGAACCCAAUUAUUUUGUACUAUCAGCCCUUCAAGUGCGAAUGCUACGAUGUUGUGAAUUCAAGUUUGAGCCUAGACACAAACACCUGAACAAUGAAGCCAACUGAGGGUGAUUUCUGAACGAGCUAUAGUCAAUAGACCUCCACGAGACCACGAUAGAUGAGCAGAUUUUUUUUUUCAUUUUUUGCCAGCUCAAUUAGUAGUGUUUACAUUGGCAUGAGAGGUAUCAGGAGGAGUAAAGGUGUGACCGAGCAGCAAGCUGGGAAAGCCAAACAACGUUUCAUUUCCUGCAGUGAAUAGCGGUGGUGAUUCAUUACGGUAGAUCGUUGCUAAUCCUGCAAUAGAUGCCUACCGCAUCGCAGUCAACAUGUACACUCGGGCGCAUUUCGCUUCACCAUGUCUUGGAUGCUUCACCUGCGUUCUUAUUGUACAGGUAACCCAGGCAAUGGUUCUGUGCACAUAGACUCUAGAUUCCGGGUGUCACCGGUAGGUAUCAUUAGGUCACUUCCAAUGCAUUCGUGUUUAGAUAAGAUGCUAAACAUAUUAAAAAGUUUAACAACUAAUGUCAACAAUGCAAGGUGUUUCACUUGUUGGUGAUAAGCUUCUCUCAUUUAAUGCUUUAGUAGCUAAACUAUUUUAUGCAUUGAAGGAUUUCUUUCAUUUAA